rnacentral:rRNA from 1 species
UACGUAGGGGGCAAGCGUUAUCCGGAUUUAUUGGGCGUAAAGCGCGCGCAGGCGGUCACGGGCAGUGGCGCGUGGAAUCUCCCGGCUCACCCGGGAGGGGCCGCGUCAAACGACGUGACUCGAGGCAGGGAGAGGGUCGCGGAACGGGCGGAGUAGGGGUGAAAUCCGCAGAGACCGUCCGGAACACCAAUGGCGAAGGCAGCGACCUAGACCUGUCCUGACGCUCAGGCGCGAAAGCGUGGGGAGCGAACGGA